rnacentral:sRNA from 1 species
GAGAAGCGCAAGAAUCCUGUGUGCCACUUUGUGACACCCCUGGACGGCUCUGUGGACGUAGACGAGCACCGCCGGCCGGAGGCUAUCACCACGGAAGGGAAGUACUGGAAGAGCCGCAUCGAGAUUGUGAUCCGGGAGUAUCACAAGUGGAGAACCUACUUCAAGAAAAGGCUACAGCAGCACAAGGAUGAGGACCUCUCCAGCCUGGUCCAGGACGAUGACAUGCUGUAUUGGCACAAGCACGGGGAUGGAUGGAAGACCCCCGUCCCCAUGGAGGAGGAUCCCCUGCUGGACACAGACAUGCUCAUGUCGGAAUUCAGCGACACCCUCUUCUCCACGCUUUCUUCACACCAGCCGGUGGCCUGGCCCAAUCCCCGGGAAAUAGCACAUCUGGGAAAUGCAGACAUGAUCCAGCCAGGACUGAUUCCUUUGCAGCCUAACCUGGACUUCAUGGACACCUUUGAGCCUUUCCAGGACCUCUUCUCUUCUAGCCGCUCCAUUUUUGGCUCCAUGCUACCUGCAUCUGCCUCAGCACCUGUACCAGAUCCCAACAACCCACCUGCACAGGAGAGCAUCCUGCCGACCACAGCCCUCCCCACCGUGAGCCUUCCUGACAGCCUCAUCGCGCCCCCUACCGCCCCAUCCCUGGCUCACGUGGAUGGGCAGGGCUGUGAACACACCUCCCGGACUGAGGACCCGUUUAUCCAGCCCACGGACUUCGGUCCCUCAGAGCCGCCACUGAGUGUCCCGCAGCCCUUCCUCCCCGUCUUCACCAUGCCCCUGCUGUCUCCCAGCCCCGCCCCACCGCCCAUCUCCCCGGUGUUACCGUUAGUUCCUCCUCCUGCCACUGCCCUGAACCCCCCAGCUCCACCCACCUUCCAUCAGCCACAGAAGUUUGCUGGAGUCAACAAAGCGCCGUCUGUCAUCACCCACACGGCCUCUGCCACCCUCACCCACGACGCCUCUGCCACCACCUUCAGCCAGAGUCAGGGCCUUGUGAUCACCACCCAUCACCCUGCCCCGUCAGCGGCCCCUUGUGGGCUGGCAUUGUCUCCUGUCACCCGGCCUCCCCAGCCACGGUUAACUUUUGUGCACCCCAAACCUGUAUCCUUGACUGGGGGCAGGCCUAAGCAGCCCCACAAAAUAGUGCCUGCUCCCACCAAGCCAGAGCCCGUGUCCUUGGUGUUGAAGAAUGCCUGCAUCGCCCCAGGUGAGCCAGGCGGGGGGACUCAGUGCGGGGCUCCCCCCGACCCAGAGGGAUGUUUUCCCAUCCCAAAGGCUUUCAAACUUGUGACCGCCACCGCCACCCUGGUGUGCACGUGCCUGCGCACACACACACACUUAAAUGAAACAAAAGGGUCGUGAAAUAAUACAUGGCCAUGAUCUA